ensembl:lncRNA
AGGGUGUGUACUUUCUGAAAGACUCCUACACACCGGACCAAAAGCGGGGUGUUGGAAGUAAGCGGCUGAGGCGGGGUCCGUUAUUGGUCCGGUUAUCUUUUAGGAGAGGGCUGAUGGGUCAGUGUGAAAACGGCACGUCGUGGAAGACUGACGUAGGUUUCGCCGGCUGCUGGCGUAACUUCCCCUUUGCAGGCUGCGCAGUCUUGAAUGAAGUCGCGCGCUCUACCGGUUUGUGAAACAAGAUGAGAUCGUCUGUUCGUCUUUGUGCCCCACGCGACCUCCUACUCAUGUCAUGCAUAGCUGUGUGUUUUCCGUCAUCUGAUGGAGCUCUGAAGGAAGAACCUCGAGCCAUUUGCCCGGUUACGGAAAUUGAAGCAAAGGAAGGUGAUGAUGUCAUCCUCCCGUUUUAUGUGGUCCCCCCUGUCAACCUGUCUGCGUUCACCGUGGACUGGUCAAGAACCAACCCGAGUGUGGUCGUCUACUCCUAUCGACACCAACAGGAGUCGCAUGAUGCAGAGAUGGAUGCAACAGUCAGACGUGAAGACCUGAACAGAGGAAGUCUGACACUGUGGAUCCCCUCAGUGCAGAUGUCCCACAGUGGAGAAUACACAGGCUUCGUUAUGGACCUCGGGAUCAAGUGUAGUGUUCAACUUAAUGUAACCAAAGACAAACUGAAAAAGCAAAAGGGGCAGGAUGGUUUCAGCACAACUGGAGCUCCUCUCAACACGACGGUGGAGAAAGUCGGUCCACGUGGUGACAUGAUGCUUAUCAUUGGGAUUGCUCUUUCUUGCGGCGUCGGUCUUCUCUUGAUUGUUCUGGGAUUGCUUGGAAAGCUCGAGGGCUUUGUGAGACGGUGCAGAGGAUGGAUCCAGCCACCAAAUGAUGAUCGCACUGAAAAUUAAACCAUCUUAUGAAAUUUAGCAGAAUGCAGUGAUUAACAAAUCUCAUGUGCUGUCCAUAAGAUGUGGGUUUAUUAUAGAAUGUGUGUCAAAUGUUUAAACUUUAAAAAAUUGUUUUGUGUGUAAGGAAAACACAAGCUCUUAGCUGUAAAUGAGGUUUUACAUGUGAACACAAUGAGUCUAGAACACGACGACAAAGUGAUGCCAGAGUUUCCUCUCAGAUGAGUUUGAAUCUCUGACCUUGUCCUUAACCUCCUAAGACCCAAACUCUCAUUUCAUGAAUUUGUAAUUUGUCUUUGUUAUUUGGACUGAGACCUGGUGAAUGUAAAAACAAACCUGAUGUAGUUUCUGAGAAUCUGAUAUCAGGCUUUGUACAGCAAAAUUGAGGAACUGUAGCCUAGACGACCCAAAAUAAUCAUGUUGACAUAUGUGGGAGGUUAAGGUCAGAGUUCAAAUUUUCUGAAAACUUGAACUCGCAUGUCACCUAUGAUUUUCAUAUUGCUAUCACAUCUAUCUGUCCUACAUUUUGCUGCUUCCAUCAAAGUCAAAAUGAGCUAAUGUUGUUCUGAAAAUGACACUUUCUCAGUUUAAACUUCUGUUUGUGUUCUGCUGUGAAUGUAAUGUGGGUUCAUUGGAUUUGCACAUAUAUUUUGUACAUUGAAACUUUGCGAGGCUGGCCGUGUGUGUGUGUGUGUGUGUGUGUGUGUGUGUGUGUGUGUGUGUGUGUGUGUGUGUGUGAGAUGACCUUUCCUAGAGCAAUAAUGUGAAUAAAUAAGUUUGUAUUUAUGAAUGUUUUAUAAAUGUUACCUUUCAUCGCUCUGUAAAGCAUUAACACAGAAACAUAUGGAUGAUAGUUUGUGUGUGAGUGAGAGGUGACUGUGAUGAUUAAAUCAAUAAACAUGAUACUGAAUGUGAC